rnacentral:rRNA from 1 species
AACGAACGCUGGCGGCAUGCCUAACACAUGCAAGUCGAACGAUGGUCUUCGGAUCUUAGUGGCCCACGGUUGCGUAACGCGGGGGAAUCUGCCCGUGGGUUCGGAAUAACAGUUGGAAACGACUGCUAAUACCGGAUGAUGUCGAUACGACCAAAGAUUUAUCGCCCGAGGAUGAGACCGCGUCGGAUUUGCUAGUUGGUGGGGUAAAGGCCUACCAAGGCGACGAUCCGUAGCUGGUCUGAGAGGAUGAUCAGCCACACUGGGACUGAGGCACGGCCCAGACUCCUACGGGAGGCAGCAGUGGGGAAUAUUGGACAAUGGGCGGAAGGCUGAUCCAGCAAUGACGCGUGAGUGAUGAAGGCCUUAGGGUUGUAAAGCUCUUUUAACCGGGAAGAUAAUGACGGUACCGGGAGAAUAAGCCACGGCUAACUCCGUG